rnacentral:rRNA from 1 species
AGAGUUUGAUCCUGGCUCAGAUUGAACGCUAGCGGGAUGCUUUACACAUGCAAGUCGAACGGCAGCGCGGACUUCGGUCUGGCGGCGAGUGGCGAACGGGUGAGUAAUGUAUCGGAACGUGCCCAGUAGCGGGGGAUAACUACGCGAAAGCGUAGCUAAUACCGCAUACGCCCUAAGGGGGAAAGCAGGGGAUCGUAAGACCUUGCACUAUUGGAGCGGCCGAUAUCGGAUUAGCUAGUUGGUGAGGUAACGGCUCACCAAGGCGACGAUCCGUAGCUGGUUUGAGAGGACGACCAGCCACACUGGGACUGAGACACGGCCCAGACUCCUACGGGAGGCAGCAGUGGGGAAUUUUGGACAAUGGGGGCAACCCUGAUCCAGCCAUCCCGCGUGUGCGAUGAAGGCCUUCGGGUUGUAAAGCACUUUUGGCAGGAAAGAAACGUCGCGGGCUAAUACCCCGUGGAACUGACGGUACCUGCAGAAUAAGCACCGGCUAACUACGUG